rnacentral:tRNA from 1 species
GGGGGCAUAGCUCAGUUGGGAGAGCGCCUGAAUGGCAUUCAGGAGGUCAUGGGUUCAAGUCCCACUGUCUCCA